rnacentral:lncRNA from 1 species
AUGAUGCGCAUGUAAGAGCUAUGGGUAUUAGGUACCUUCUAGAUUGACUCUAGUGCAAGUGGGAGACUGUUGGAGGUAUGCCCUAGAGGCAAUCAUAGAGAUGAUGAUAUUCCACUUGUAUCCAUGAUUUGUAUAUUGUGUUCAUUGAAUAUCCAUUAAAGGCUACUUGAAUUGAUUUGCAAUUAUGUGAAUUGUCUGUGAAACUCUUUACUUGUAUGGUUAUUCUAAAGUUGUCCCUAGUCGGAGUUCAUGUGAGGACACACAUGAAUAUUAGACUAGCACAUAUAUUAGUUGAUGACUAUGUUUCACAAGUCAUGGACAUGGAGAUGUUGAACUAAUAAUGUGGACACAUGUGGAGACAUGUGUUAGGACUGACCCAACACGAGAAGUAGUCCUCUCUUUAAACAACAUAUACGCUUUGUCCUUAGACCUGAGAUUGUCGCAUGUAUUCUAGAUGUGGAU